GGAUCUUGCUCGAGAUCCCUGCCUACCUGAGGUCUUCUAAAGAUUUGCUCAGCAGUUCUGGGAAUCAAGUGCACUGCCACACAAAAUCGUCUUUGCAUACAUUUGGCUAAAUGGCAUUAUUCCUGGCUGUUUAAUGACUACAUUUGGAUAUGAAAUUUCUCCAUUUCACAGAGCCUUCAAUGCAGCCACAGCAGGUGGGAGCAGGGUCUGGUGGAGCUGGUUGCACCUUUCUUUGCUUGGGUUCAAGAAGAAAGGGAACAGGAUCUUACUCGAGUUUCUGAAGCUCUUCAACAAGGCUGGAUUUCUGGCCAGGAGACAUCCUAGCAAAGACAGUUGCAUUCAGAAGAAUCUGCGGGACAGAGCAAGGGACAGCCUUGAGACGGUUCUCCAUCACCAGGAGGCCCAGAAACUCCAGCCCAGACUCCACCUCCUCUCUUGGGAGAAGGAAAGAAACAUGGUUGUGCUUCC